CGCACGGGUGAGUAACACGUGAGUGACCUGCCUUUUAGACUGGAACAACUUACCGAAAGGUGAGCUAAUGCCGGAUGAGUUAUAUAAGUGCAUGUUUAUAUAGGAAAAGUUGGGGAGACCUGACGCUGAAAGAUGGACCCGCGUCCCAUUAGCUAGUUGGUAGGGUAAUGGCCUACCAAGGCGACGAUGGGUAGCCGGCCUGAGAGGGUGGCCGGCCACACUGGGACUGAGACACGGCCCAGACUCCUACGGGAGGCAGCAG
rnacentral:rRNA from 1 species